rnacentral:rRNA from 1 species
CCUACGGGCGGCAGCAGUGGGGGAUAUUGCACAAUGGGGGAAACCCUGAUGCAGCGACGCCGCGUGAGUGAAGAAGUAUUUCGGUAUGUAAAGCUCUAUCAGUAGGGAAGAAAAUGACAGUACCUGACCAAGAAGCCCCGGCUAACUACGUGCCAGCAGCCGCGGUAAUACGCAGGGAGCAAGCGUUAUCCGGAUUUACUGGGCGUAAAGGGAGCGUAGACGGUUUUGUAAGUCUGGAGUGAAAGCCUGCGGCCCAACCCCGGGACUGCUUUGGAAACUGGGUAACUUGAGUACAGGAGGGGCAGGCGGAAUUCGUGGUGUAGCGGUGAAAUGCGUAGAUAUCAGGAAGAACACCGGCGGCGAAGGCAGCCUGCUGGACUGAAACUGACGUUGAGGCUCGAAAGCGUGGGGAGCAAACAGGAUUAGAUACCCCGGUAGUC